GAAAUGCGAUAAGUAAUGUGAAUUGCAGAAUUCAGUGAAUCAUCGAAUCUUUGAACGCACCUUGCGCUCCUUGGUAUUCCGAGGAGCAUGCCUGUUUGAGUGUCAUGGUAUUCUCAACCCUGCUACAUUUUUUUGUAGUUGGGCUUGGACUUGGAGGUUCAUUGCUGGUGUUCUCUUUUGAACGCGGGCUCCUCUGAAAUGCAUUAGCUGGAAUGUUACCGAGCAUGAUUCAAUGUGAUAAUUGUCUACGUUGCUUCAACUUGGUAUUAAUUCUGUUUCAGCUUCAAACCGUCCUUGCGGACAAUAUCUUGAACAUCUGACCUCAAAUCAGGUAGGACUACCCGCUGAACUUAA
rnacentral:rRNA from 1 species